AUUUAUGUCACGAAAUAUAAAGUCCCAAACACUAUCUUCUGAAUGACAAUAACGGAUUGUUUAAAAAUAAAAUCUUGCCUCGGGAGGGGAAAUUACAAAUAAGGUCCAGUAUUUAACCCAUACUGCAAGACUAAUACAGAAGUGUUUUCAUGCAGAAAUAGUGAUUUCUCUACAUACCUCAAAACAGAAUGCACGUGUCGUGGUUGAUUAUAUAUUUCC